GUGCUCGGGCUUCAGGUGGGCCUCUGGUGGCAGGCCUGGGUGGUGAGGUGGGCCCAGCAGGUGGGCUGCAGCCUGCUGCUGCUGCCCAGGCGAGGGCGCCGGCUCGGGAGGACUCAGCGCAGAGGCAGGUGCUCCCUUUAGCUCGCUUAGGCCACCUCGCUUGUGCUCCUGACACGGAGAAGCGCUGGAAUGGGGGGACUCGGUGCCCGCCGGAGUCUCGGAGGCCGAGCCCGCGGCCUCCCCGAGCUGAGCCUGAGAGGCCUGGGACCCAGGAGCGGUCUUCUUGCCUCCGCUACUGGCCGCACCCGCGGCUUCCUUCAGUGCCAGUUGCUUCUCACACUUGAAGCGCUUCUGGCGGCGCAGGUAGCAGCCGUUCUCGAACAUGUUGCCCGAGUCUGGGUGCAGGGUCCAGAAGGAGCCCUUGCCAGGCUUGUCUGGCGAGCGGGGCACCUUGAGAAAGCAGUCGUUGAAGGAGAGAGAGUGGCGGAUGGAGUUCUGCCAGCGCUGCUGGUUCUGCCGGUAGAAAGGGAAGAGGUCCAUGAUCCACUGAUAGAUCUCGCUCAGCGUCAGCAUCUUGUUGGGGCUCUGCUGGAUGGCCAUGGUGAUGAGCGAGAUGUACGAGUAGGGAGGUUUGGCGUGUGUGUAGCUGCGUCGGUAUGUCUUGGGGUCCCGAGCGCGGCUCAGGCCGGCCUGCCCGUACAUGGGGCUCAUCGAGUUCAUGUUGGCGUAGGGGGCAAGGCCACCCAUGGCCCCGGCCGCCUGUCCCCCGAGCGGGCUCAGACUCGGACUCAGGUGAGGUCCCAUGCCCGCCACGCCGGCCGCCCCGGCUGAGCCGCUCAUGCCCGCCAUGGCGCCGGCGCCCGGGGACAUGCCAGCUAGCGACGGGCUCAUUCCAGCGCCCACAUAGGAUGACAUGUUCAUGGAGCCCGCGCUCAUGUUGCCGGAACCGCCGCCCAUGGCAGCCGCGGACAUGCUCAUGUAUGUGUUCAUGCCAUUCAUCCCCAGGCCGGCGUUCAUGUUGCUCACGGAAGAGUAGCCCUGCGGACAGAGCCCGGGGAGGAGACAGGUUAGCACCUAGGCUGAGCUCGCCCGAUCUUCCCACCCACCCACCAGUUGGACCCAGUCCCCCGCAAUUCGUGCAAGCCUCUGGAAUCUCUUGCUUUCCCUGGAUCCCAGUGCACCAACACCAAGUCCUCUGGGCCCCAAAGAGAGCCGGAAAAGAGAUCGCCCUAGGGCCAGCGGGACCUGAGGCUCAGCCUCGCCCAGAUUCUAGAACUUCAGUGACCUGGACCACCGCCAACUCAGGCGCCCCAAAUGUAUUUUACUCUCCCUAGGGGCUCCUCAAAUCAGCUGGCCAGCACACUGAGUCAGCACCGAGGCCGGAAAUCUCCGUUGCUAUCCCAGGUAGUCAAAAGCCACCUUUGGAACCUCACUGGGGCAGUCUCAAGCGAAAAUCAUCUCAGUGUCCUCUAUUCUGGGGUUUCGUACCGGGACCCCACUCCUUAGUCAUAGGGGAGUGAAGCGCAGUGCCUGCACAGAGUCCGGGAGCAGCUGGAGGCAUCGCGUGGAGG
rnacentral:lncRNA from 1 species